rnacentral:rRNA from 1 species
AGUGAACGCUGGCGGCGUGCUUAACACAUGCAAGUCGAACGAGAACGGAAUAUAGCUUGCUAUAUUUGUCAGCUAAGUGGCGCACGAGUGAGUAAUGUAUAGAUAACCUGCCCUUAAGAAAGGAAUAACAGUUGGAAACGACUGCUAAUGCCCUAUAUGCCUUUAAUACAUAAGUAUGCAAGGGAAACGCUUUAGUGCUUAGAGAGUGGCCUGCAUUCUAUCAGCUAGUUGGUGAGGUAAAAGCUCACCAAGGCAAUGACGGAUAAUUGAUCUGAGAGGAUGAUCAGUCACAAUGGAACUGAGACACGGUCCAUACUCCUACGGGAGGCAGCAGUGAGGAAUCUUCCACAAUGGGCGCAAGCCUGAUGGAGCGACACCGCGUGAAGGAAGAAGGUCUAACGAUUGUAAACUUCUUUUCUGGAGGAGCAUAAUGAGAGUACUUCAGGAAUAAGGAACGGCUAAUCACGUGCCAGCCGCCGCCGUAA